ensembl:lncRNA
GGGGUUAGUAGGUGUUGGAGGUUGUUCUGGUCUGGAGCGUCAGUGUGGUGGGGGUUAGUAGGUGUUGGAGGUUGUUCUGGUCUGGAGGGUCAGUGUGGUGGGGGUUAGUAGGUGUUGGACUGGGUUGUUCUGGUCUGGAGCAUCAGUGUGGUGGGGGUUAGUAGGUGUUGGAGGUUGUUCUGCUCUGGAGGGUCAGUGUGGUGGGGGUUAGUAGGUGUUGGAGGUUGUUCUGGUCUGGAGCGUCAGUGUGGUGGGGGUUAGUAGGUCUUGGAGGUUGUUCUGGUCUGGAGCGUCAGUGUGGUGGGGGUUAGUAGAUGUUGGACUUGGUUGUUCUGGUCUGGAGGGUCAGUGUGGUGGGGGUUAGUAGGUGUUGGAGGUUGUUCUGGUCUGGAGGGUCAGUGUGGUGGUGGUUAGUAGGUGUUGGAGGUUGUUCUGGUCUGGAGCAUCAGUGUGGUGGGGGUUAGUAGGUGUUGGAGGUUGUUCUGGUCUGGAGGGUCAGUGUGGUGGGGGUUAGUAGGUGUUGGAGGUUGUUCUGGUCUGGAGGGUCAGUGUGGUGGGGGUUAGUAGAUGUUGGACUUGGUUGUUCUGGUCUGGAGGGUCAGUGUGG